rnacentral:rRNA from 1 species
UACGUAGGGUGCAAGCGUUAAUCGGAAUUACUGGGCGUAAAGCGUGCGCAGGCGGUUAUGUAAGACAGUUGUGAAAUCCCCGGGCUCAACCUGGGAACUGCAUCUGUGACUGCAUAGCUAGAGUACGGUAGAGGGGGAUGGAAUUCCGCGUGUAGCAGUGAAAUGCGUAGAUAUCUGGAGGAACACCAGUGGCGAAAGCGGCUUCCUGGUCCAGCACCGACGUUCAGGCACGAAAGCGUGGGGAGCAAACAGG